UCUCCUACGGGGGGCAGCAGUGGGGAAUAUUGCACAAUGGGGGAAACCCUGAUGCAGCGACGCCGCGUGAGUGAAGAAGUAUUUCGGUACGUAAAGCUCUAUCAGCAGGGAAGAAAAAAAGUCCUUUGGACUUUGGACGGUACCUGACCAAGAAGCCCCGGCUAACUACGUGCCAGCAGCCGCGGUAAUACGGAGGAUGCGAGCGUUAUCCGGAUUUAUUGGGUUUAAAGGGUGCGUAGGCGGAAUAUCAAGUCAGCGGUAAAAAUUCGGGGCUCAACCCCGUCGUGCCGUUGAAACUGAUGUUC
rnacentral:rRNA from 1 species